rnacentral:rRNA from 1 species
UACGUAGGGACCAAGCGUUGUCCGGAAUCAUUGGGCGUAAAGAGCGUGUAGGCGGCCUGUUAAGUCUUGCGUGAAAUCUCGGGGCUCAACCCCGAGCGGUCGUGAGAAACUGGCAGGCUAGAGUGCGGGAGAGGAGAGUGGAAUUCCUGGUGUAGCGGUGAAAUGCGCAGAUAUCAGGAGGAACACCGGUGGCGAAGGCGGAUCUCUGGGCCUUACCUGACGCUGAGGCGCGAAAGCUAGGGGAGCGAACAGG